GAUGAACGCUGGCGGCGUGCCUAAUACAUGCAAGUCGAGCGAACAGACGAGGAGCUUGCUCCUCUGACGUUAGCGGCGGACGGGUGAGUAACACGUGGAUAACCUACCUAUCAGACUGGGAUAACUUCGGGAAACCGGCGCUUAUACCGGAUAAUAUCUUGAACCGCAUGGUUCAAUAGUGAAAGACGGUUUUGCUGUCACUUAUAGAUGGAUCCGCGCCGCAUUAGCUAGUUGGUAAGGUAACGGCUUACCAAGGCAACGAUGCGUAGCCGACCUGAGAGGGUGAUAGGCCACACUGGAACUGAGACACGGUCCAGACGACUAAGGGAGGCAGCAGUAGGGAAUCGGCCGCAAUGGGCGAAAGCAUGACGGAGCAACGCCGCGUGAGUGAUGAAGGUCUUCGGAUCGUAAAACUCUGUUAUUAGGGAAGAACAAAUGUGUAAGUAACUAUGCACGGCUUGACGGUACCUAAUCAGAAAGCCACGGCUAACUACGUG
rnacentral:rRNA from 1 species